UCUCUGGUGGCCUAGUGAUUAAGGUUCCAGCAUUGUCACUGCUGUGGCGCAGGUUCGAUCCCUGGCUCAGGAG
rnacentral:tRNA from 1 species